rnacentral:lncRNA from 1 species
GUUCGUGUGAGAAGCGGCUUUGCGAUGGAAGCUGAUUUGGUCGAUUUGAAGCUCUGAUGGAAGCGACGAUGGAUUUGAAGCUGCUCUGUUCGUGUGAGAAGCUGCUCUGCGAUGGAAGCGGCGAUGUUAGGGUUCGUGAAGAGAGAAAGUGAAAAAGUCUAUGUGUUCGUGAUAGAGAGAAAGUGAAGAAAAAGUUCUCUGAUGUUAGGGUUUUCUGGUGAAUGAAAAAAAACAAGAGGGAAAUCAAUUUUGCUAAAUGAAAAUAAAGGGGGGAAAGGAAUUUUCUUUCACAGAGAAGAGAGGGAAACAAU